UUGCGGGUGAAAGUCCCGUCAUGGUAAAACAGAAAGCCAUGUAGCAUAUACCCAAUGCUGAAAGCGAUUUCAGUAUUGAAGCGGUAUGUAAAAACUCCAAUACUGGGGGAGCAAGUUAACAGUCCGUAACAUAA
rfam:Candidatus Altiarchaeales archaeon WOR_SM1_SCG NODE_249_length_1443_cov_8271.99_ID_841, whole genome shotgun sequence.